UACGAAGGGUGCAAGCGUUAAUCGGAAUUACUGGGCGUAAAGGGCGCGUAGGUGGCGCGACAAGUCAACGGUGAAAGCUCGGCGCUCAACGCCGAGUCGGCCGUCGAUACUGUUGGGCUUGAGCACUGUAGAGGCUAAUGGAAUUCCGGGUGUAGCGGUGGAAUGCGUAGAGAUCCGGAAGAACACCGGUGGCGAAGGCGGUCUGCUGGGCCAAGACUGACGCUGAGGCGCGACAGCGUGGGGAGCAAACAGG
rnacentral:rRNA from 1 species